rnacentral:rRNA from 1 species
CCUACGGGAGGCAGCAGUCGAGAAUCAUUCACAAUGGGGGAAACUCUGAUGGUGCGACGCCGCGUGGGGGAAUGAAGGUCUUCGGAUUGUAAACCCCUGUCAUGUGGGAGCAAAUUAAAAAGAUAGUACCACAAGAGGAAGAGACGGCUAACUCUGUGCCAGCAGCCGCGGUAAUACAGAGGUCUCAAGCGUUGUUCGGAAUCACUGGGCGUAAAGCGUGCGUAGGCUGUUUCGUAAGUCGUGUGUGAAAGGCGCGGGCUCAACCCGCGGACGGCACAUGAUACUGCGAGACUAGAGUAAUGGAGGGGGAACCGGAAUUCUCGGUGGAGCAGUGAAAUGCGUAGAUAUCGAGAGGAACACUCGUGGCGAAGGCGGGUUCCUGGACAUUAACUGACGCUGAGGCACGAAGGCCAGGGGAGCGAAAGGGAUUAGAUACCCGAGUAGUC